rnacentral:rRNA from 1 species
AUUGAACGCUGGCGGCAUGCCUAACACAUGCAAGUCGAACGGUAACAGGUCUAGCUUGCUAGAUGCUGACGAGUGGCGGACGGGUGAGUAACGCGUGGGAAUCUGCCUUCUAGUGGGGAUAGCCCGGAGAAAUCCGGAUUAAUACCGCAUACGCCCUACGGGGGAAAGCCGGGGAUCUUCGGACCUGGCGCUAGUAGAUGAGCCCGCGUGAGAUUAGCUUGUUGGUGGGGUAAUGGCCUACCAAGGCAACGAUCUCUAGCUGGUCUGAGAGGACGAUCAGCCACACUGGGACUGAGACACGGCCCAGACUCCUACGGGAGGCAGCAGUGGGGAAUAUUGGACAAUGGGCGAAAGCCUGAUCCAGCAAUGCCGCGUGUGUGAAGAAGGCCUGAGGGUUGUAAAGCACUUUCAAUCGUGAAGAAAAGUUGCAGGCUAAUACCCUGUGACCUUGACGUUAACGAUACAAGAAGCACCGGCUAACUCCGUG